AUACGAGUGCUCCAAGCGUUAUCCGGAAUCACUGGGCGUAAAGGGUCCGUAGGCGGUCUUAUUAGUCGGUUGUUAAAACCCGAGGCUUAACCUCGGUUGUGCACCCGAAACGGUAAGACUAGAGGAUGUGAGAGGUUGUUGGAACUCAUAGUGUAGGGGUGAAAUCCGUUGAUCUUAUGGGGAACACCAAAUGCGAAGGCAAACAACUGGCACAUUCCUGACGCUGAGGGACGAAAGCGUGGGUCGCGAAUGGGAUUAGAAACCCCAGUAGUCC
rnacentral:rRNA from 1 species